UGCCCCAUGGCUGAGUUGGUUACAGCGUCCGACUGUUAGAAAUGUCAGGAAAUCGGAAGGUCGAGAGUUCGAGCCUCUCUGGGGCAG
rnacentral:tRNA from 1 species